GUGCUUGCUUUAGCAGCACAUAGUCUAAAAUUGGAAUAAUAUAGAGGAGACUAGCAUGGCCCCUGUGCA
rnacentral:snRNA from 1 species